rnacentral:rRNA from 1 species
UACGUAGGUGGCAAGCGUUGUCCGGAUUUACUGGGCGUAAAGAGCGCGCAGGCGGUCGUGCAAGUCGCGUGUGAAAGCCCCCGGCUCAACUGGGGGAGGGUCACGCGAUACUGCUCGACUGGAAGGCAGGAGAGGGAAGCAGAAUUCCCGGUGUAGUGGUGAAAUGCGGCAGAUAUCAGGAGGAACACCGGUGGCGAAGGCGGGUCUCUGGGCCGUAACUGACGCUGAGGAGCGAAAGCGUGGGGAGCGAACAGG